AUUUACAUUACCAAUCCCGAAGCAAAAAGGAUCCCCGACGCCUGCGGCUACAAAGCAGCUCCGCAGCGGAGUGCGCGAAGGGCAGGAGCGGACGCCCCCUGGCGGCGCAGCCCCGCGGGCCCGAGGCGCCCAAACUGGCCGCCAGGACUCCAGCCCGCGCCGCACCAUCGCACCCCGAGUGGCCCGCACCCCCUCCCGACCCGGCCCGCCAGCUCCAGCGGCCCGGCGGCAAACCGCUACGGUGAGACCUGGCUGCCGCGUAGGCAAUGCCGCGCCGGCACACAGCGCCGACCCAGCGGCUCGGAGCUGGGAGAGAAAGGUGUGAACCCGGAAGUACAUCGCCUGCCCGCAUCUCGGUGGGAAAACGGGGGCAAUAAAUCAGGGCCGGCGAAGGCAGGACACCGCUCCGGCUUCCGAACAACAACUUGCUGCGAGACCUGUUACUUCCCCACCUGGCCCCGUUCUUCCCCCUCCCUGGCGCUCACGCCUCCUCCCUUCUCCCGGCUGCGCCGCACCGAGCUCCCCUCGACGUUGCUCACGUGCCAGACCCGGGGCCGCGAGCGCCGUCGGCACCCGCGCGCACACCCAGCCCCUCGAACACUCGCCCGGCCGCGGGGCGCGCUGCUUACCUCCGGGGCCUCAUGGUCGCGUUGCUCGCUCGGGCAGAGCGGGGGAGAGGGUGUGAGUACGUGUGUGGCGUUCAGUCCGGGGACGGGGCGGAGGAAGGGGCCUGGACUCUGUCACUUCCUGAGGGAGCGCGGCGGCCGGACACCCGGGAUGCGCGCGGCGGGGCCGGGCCGCUCAGCACAUUGUGAGCCGGCGAGGGGACGCGGCGCGGAGGGGCCGGGGAGCGAGGGCGGCGCUCGGCUGCCGGACUGGAAUCCGCUGUCGCCGCCGCUCGGCCGCCACAGCCCGGCGGGGAGGAGGGGGCCGGGCCGGGGUGGGGGGAACCGCGGGGCGCGGCGGCGGCGGCGACACCAGACUGCUCGACUGGAGCCCUGCGUCAGGCGGCGGCACGCGCACACCUGCCCGCCGCCGCUCCGGGCCGCACUAUUGGCUGUCCGCGCGGAGCGCGCGAGAUUGAACUUUCCAUUCAUUCUUGGGCCUGCCGGGCGCGCGCGGCGGCGGCGGAGCUUUCACCGGGGGCUCUCGAGGACGCGCGCUGCCCGCCCCAACCGAAAGGCGCGUCCCCGCGCGGACUGUGGGCGCGCACGGUCGCUGCCGCCGGCUCUUCGAGUGGCGGUUGCGAGCGUCGGGGCCUGUCACUUGGGUCCCGCUGCGCGCUGCACGGGCUCCUGGAGGACCCUCAGCCGGCGGUCUCUGGGCUGCGCCUGGAAGGAGGCAGCAGCGAAACUGUAA
rnacentral:lncRNA from 1 species